CUUUCGGGACUGAGCGGCGGACGGGUGAGUAACGCGUGGGAACGUGCCCCUUUCUUCGGAAUAGCCUCGGGAAACUGGGAGUAAUGCCGGAUACGCCGGGCCAUGGCGGCAUGGUUCGGGAAAGAUUUAUCGGAGAGGGAUCGGCCCGCGUCGGAUUAGGUAGUUGGUGGGGUAACGGCCUACCAAGCCGACGAUCCGUAGCUGGUUUGAGAGGAUGACCAGCCACACUGGGACUGAGACACGGCCCAGACUCCUACGGGAGGCAGCAGUGGGGAAUCUUGGACAAUGGGGGCAACCCUGAUCCAGCCAUGCCGCGUGAGCGAUGAAGGCCUUAGGG
rnacentral:rRNA from 1 species